rnacentral:rRNA from 1 species
CCUACGGGAGGCAGCAGUAGGGAAUAUUGCACAAUGGGCGAAAGCCUGAUGCAGCAACGCCGCGUGAGUGAUGAAGGCCUUCGGGUCGUAAAGCUCUGUCGUGUGGGAGACGGUACCACACAAGAAAGGACCGGCCAACUUCGUGCCAGCAGCCGCGGUAAUACGGGGGGUCCAAGCGUUGUUCGGAAUCACUGGGCGUAAAGCGCAUGUAGGUGGCUUUUCAAGUCAACUGUGAAAGCCCAGGGCCUAACCCUGGAAGUGCAGUUGAUACUGUUGAGCUUGAGUACGAGAGAGGAUAGUGGAAUUUCUGGUGUAGUGGUGAAAUACGUAGAUAUCAGAAGGAACAUCGGUGGCGAAGGCGGCUAUCUGGUCAUACUGACACUGAGAUGCGAAAGCGUGGGGAUCAAACAGGAUUAGAUACCCUUGUAGUC